GACGAACGCUGGCGGCGUGCCUAAUACAUGCAAGUUGAGCGCUGAAGGUUGGUACUUGUACCAACUGGAUGAGCAGCGAACGGGUGAGUAACGCGUGGGGAAUCUGCCUUUGAGCGGGGGACAACAUUUGGAAACGAAUGCUAAUACCGCAUAAAAACUUUAAACACAAGUUUUAAGUUUGAAAGAUGCAAUUGCAUCACUCAAAGAUGAUCCCGCGUUGUAUUAGCUAGUUGGUGAGGUAAAGGCUCACCAAGGCGAUGAUACAUAGCCGACCUGAGAGGGUGAUCGGCCACAUUGGGACUGAGACACGGCCCAAACUCCUACGGGAGGCAGCAGUAGGGAAUCUUCGGCAAUGGACGAAAGUCUGACCGAGCAACGCCGCGGGAGUGAAGAAGGUUUUCGGAUCGUAAAACUCGGUUGGUAGAGAAGAACGUUGGUGAGAGUGGAAAGCUCAUCAAGUGACGGUAACUACCCAGAAAGGGACGGCUAACUACGUG
rnacentral:rRNA from 1 species